rnacentral:lncRNA from 1 species
GUUUUUUGAUUGGUUGGUUGGUUGGUUUUGCUGUUCUUGUUGUUGUCUUUUGUUUGGAGACAAGGUCUCACUAAAUAGCCUUGGCCAGCCUGGAACUUACUAUGUAGACCAGGCUGGCCUGGAACUCAUAGAGAUUCACCUUCCUCUGCCCCUCGAGUGUUGGGAUUAAAAGUGUGUGCCACCAGGCCGGGCAGUUUGUCACAUUUUAAAAUAAAGACCAUUAUUUCUUUUUCAGCCAGGAUUCUUCUUCUGCCCAUCACCUUUCCAGGUGAUGAGAGAGUGAGACCAGUCACCUCCUGUACUUGUGCCCAUUU